rnacentral:rRNA from 1 species
GACGAACGCUGGCGGCGUGCUUAACACAUGCAAGUCGAACGAUGAAGUUAUGACGGAGGCUUCGGCCGACAGAAUAACGGAAUAGUGGCGAACGGGUGAGUAACACGUGGGAAAUCUGCCUAGGAGUGGGGGAUAACAUUCGGAAACGGAUGCUAAUACCGCAUANCUUUUUGAACCGCAUGGUUCUUAAACGAAAGACGGCUUCGGCUGUCGCUCUUAGAUGAUCCCGCGGCGUAUUAGUUAGUUGGUGGGGUAAAGGCCUACCAAGACGACGAUCAGUAGCCGGACUGAGAGGUUGAACGGCCACAUUGGAACCUGAGAGACGGUCCAGACUCCUACGGGAGGCAGCAGUGGGGAAUAUUGGGCAAUGGGCGAAAGCCUGACCCAGCGACGCCGCGUGAGGGAAGAAGGGUCUUCGGAUUGUAAACCUUAGUCAACAGGGAAGAAGAAAGUGACGGUACCUGUGGAGGAAGCACGGCUAACACGUG